rnacentral:rRNA from 1 species
UCCUACGGGAGGCAGCAGUGGGGAAUAUUGCACAAUGGGGGGAACCCUGAUGCAGCGACGCCGCGUGGGUGAAGAAGUAUUUCGGUAUGUAAAGCCCUAUCAGCAGGGAAGAAAAAUGACGGUACCUGACUAAGAAGCACCGGCUAAAUACGUGCCAGCAGCCGCGGUAAUACGUAUGGUGCAAGCGUUAUCCGGAUUUACUGGGUGUAAAGGGAGCGCAGGCGGCGCGCUAAGCCUGAUGUGAAAACCCGCGGCCCAACCGCGGGAGUGCAUUGGGAACUGGCGGGCUGGAGUACCGGCGGGGG